CAAAAAGUUUGGAUUUAAUUUGCGGUCAAAUUGCUGGUUUAAAACAUUUUUAAAUCUUUCAAAACCAUGCAGUGCAGGCUGAAUAUCGUACACAUAGAGAAACAUUUCUCCUAGUACAUGAGUUUGUUCACGGAUGAUGAUUCAGUGUAUCAGCUUGCAAGACCAGCUAAGCCUUCACUAAAAUACAGACAAAAUUCUAAAUGUAAGGCUCUUCUGCCUCCACAAAUUAAAUGUGUGCUUUUGUGUGUAAGCCUUUUAGGAUGGCAACAAGGCUCGAAACACUCAAAUGUGUUAGGAAAGUGUAUUAAUACAAUAUUCCAAGGCUAGUUGAACUCAGAUUUCUCUAAAAGAGGAAUAGCUUCUAUGAAGAAAUUGCCAGAUCAAAGAUACAUGGUGAAAUGCUUAAAAUCUUAGAAGUCUGUAAGAACUGCAUCUAAAUUUUUCCCUCCUGUAAAAGGCAAAAAGGCAGCUCCACACCAUUAGUUACUGCGUUGUACAGGGAUGUGCUGUGUUCUGUUACUUGGUGUUUAAUCCAGAAGUGCGUUCAGCUAUGUAUUAGUAGUGAGUGCUGAAUUAUAAGCCAUCAGAGCAGCAAAAGAUAGGACAGAAAUAAACUGUUGGCUGUGAUUGCCCCUUUGAAAAAGAACAGGGAUUCUGAGAGGGGAGGGAAGGAGUUUCCAUGUCCCCAGUGGAGUUUAUUAUUCUCUGGAAACAGGUAAACCAACCCUGGCUCAUGAAGAUACUUUAGAAUAGGAAAUGUUUUGCCUUUGAAAUGUACCAGAUUACAUGUCAUUUCAAAUAGUGUUCAUGGCGAAGAUACCCCUGGGACCACCUUACAAGAGCUUUAUUUCUUGCCUGCAAAUUAGUCAGUUCAAAACACUUCUUUCAUCUCUGCCUUCAGCUCCUAAUACCACACAUGCUGUUUGUAAAAUAGGGGAGUGAAAAGACCCUGAAUACAAUGGUACAAUUAAAAAACUAAAACAAAAAACUGUAAAGGCAACAACAGGAUGGGCUUCAGCCGACAAGGAAAAGAAUGAAAUUUCGGUGCCUUUUUGGAGGCAUUUCAAUAAACCCUCUUUUCCCCCUUUCAGCAGGGGCUCACUGAAGCAGCUAUGUUUUCUAAAUGGCAGACAGACAAUAGCAUCUAAAUUAUUUUUAAGAAAGCACUUAUAGCACUAAGCACCCAGUACUACUAAAUCCGCCUUAGAGGAGAAGGGUGGAGGAAGAAGAAAGGUCAACAAAUGUAUCAAGUUCUUUGUGUAAUGCCUCACUGACAUUUUCCAGCUCCCUCAGCUGGCUUUUAUUUUUUUAUUUUAUUUUAUUUUUUCAGAAUCCUGGUAAAAUGCAGUAAAGGAUUUGAGGUUAUCGUCUGUCUCUCUCUAACUUCUGACAUCUCUUUAUAACAAGAAAGAGUCGCAGCCAACUGUAACAGGAGGGCAACACAAUGGAUCCUGCUUCUCAAUGUCUUGAACAUCCUCAUGUAGUUGAAAUAGCCAGUUGCUACCACGGCAGUGCAUCAGUGACGGUACUGCAGCCGUCAAGACUUUCUGGUUCCCAUCCAUGUAUUGAUCCAUCAACUGGAGAGUCAAGGACUGAUUGGUGCUGGCGACACCAUGAGUCCAUCAGUUAUGCCCAGUUUUGACUGAUGUCUUACUGUUGAAAGCAAUUGGGUGCAGCAGCAGAUGUCAGCAAAGGAAAGAUGCCUACAAUGUGCUGUUGCGAAACAAGGUGCAGUAGGUGCAGUGGGAUUUGUCUGUUCCAGCUCUUCAGAAAUUUCAGUGUUCUUUCUUCUUGCUGUCUAUACCUGAUUAUUUUAGCAGUCUCUCAUUUCUCUAUCUUCUUAUCCUUUCCCCCUUUGCUGCUGCUGCCUGCCCACCUUGCUACUUAGGCACUUCUAUGUCCAGAAACUGACCCUGUCAGAUGCCAGCUUUCUUCCCAAGGACUGGGGAAGGACCUCAAGCUUGGGAGAAAUGUGGCCAGAGCUGUAAUGGUGCAAAUGAACUUGUAAAAUGGUUCAAGAGGGCAAAGCCAAGCAAAUGGCUAGCAGGUAGCUUGUGCUUUAGACUAGUUUAUUUUGCGCAAGUCAGAUACUGCAUGCGCUGCAUCUGAAGUCUGAAGCUGAUCCGUCUGGCAAACCUACUGAUGUCUACAUUGUCAAAAUACAUGAGACAACAUUUCAUUUCUCCAAAUUGCCAUUAAUUUCGUUGCCUUAUUUUCUUUCUUUUCCUCCUACACCAGGAUGACACUUUUGAAGUGUACUUUUAAGAGCAUAAUUUGAUCAAAUGAUCCAAGGGAACUCCCUAUAGACAUCCAUGAUUUAAUGCUAGAUCUGUUCUAAAGGUUGGCUUGUCUGACAAUGGCAAUGGGUUUAACUUCAGUUCAUUUGUAGGUAAUAAAUAUAGCGAGUUU